rnacentral:rRNA from 1 species
UACGUAGGAGGCGAGCGUUGUCCGGAGUUACUGGGCGUAAAGGGUGUGUAGGCGGUUGUUUAAGUUUGGUGUGAAAUCUCCCGGCUCAACUGGGAGGGUGCGCCGAAUACUGAAUGACUCGAGUGCGGGAGAGGAAAGUGGAAUUCCUGGUGUAGCGGUGAAAUGCGUAGAUAUCAGGAGGAACACCGGUGGUGUAGACGGCUUUCUGGACCGUAACUGACGCUGAGACACGAAAGCGUGGGUAGCAAACAGG